CCUCUUGAUGAGGAGGAUUUAGUUGCUUACAUUUUAAAUGGGCUAGAUGAAGAUUUUGAACCUGUUGUAUUUGCUAUUGUGGCACGCGAUGAGUCGGUCACAAUGGCGGAAGUCUACUCUCAGCUUCUUAAUUUUGAGA
rnacentral:snoRNA from 1 species